rnacentral:misc_RNA from 1 species
AAGCAAGAUGGCGCUGUCCGUAAAGGAAUUAGCUUCUUUAUUGAGUAAGGGAAUGAUGUUGAUCUAUGAUAAAUGCGAUAAAGGGAAAUAACUCCUCAAAGUUGAUAAUGAUAAUGGUGAAAAUUUCAGCGUCCUUUCAGAAGACACGACUCAAACUCAGUCAUUCGAAAGUUUGGCCACCAGUUUCCAUCAUUAUUUCACGAAACAAGACCACUUCAAAGUCGGAUCAUCGAUUGUACUCUUGCUGCAAAAUCGUGAUUUGCUUCCACACCCAACACAGAAAUUAGCUGCCAUAUUUCUUCUCUAUGAAAUGUAUCGUACUGAUCCAAUAGCUGCUAAUCCAUUUGCUACAGUGUUUGUACAUAUCUUGAACCCGCCAACAGAAAACCAAGAAGCUGGGCAGUUUGACUUACACUGGGCUAUUCCAGCCAUCUCCCCCGCAGAACGAUACUUUCUAUCUCAGCUCAUCUCCAGCCCUACAAAAGAGAUGUUCAAGAAGACUCCAACCCAAAUCAUCCAGCUGGAUGUCAGCAGUAUGCAGAACUUUGAUGUGAGUGGACUUCAGUUGGCUCUGGCUGAGAGACAGUCGGAAAUGCCAGCGCAGAGCAAGUCAGCCAUGCCAUGUGUGGUACCAGACCGCGACACCAAGCCCUCUAGUUUUGAUCAUUUUGGGAAGCCAGGGGUAAUAAACCCUGAUGUUCAGAGACAGACCAUAGAGUCUCUCCUAACAGGGAACAAGGCUCCUGUGGAAAACUGCAUGAUGCCGGAGUUUAUCCGAUUGGCCCCUCCUUUGCAUAUAGCAGAGGAUGAGCUUUGCUGGAUGAAUCCAGUGGAUAUGGAUUACAGUGUAGCUUGGGAUACCACCAUGUGCGUCAGCAGUUCAGCAGGGGUGGAAAUCCGGCGACUGAUGUCCAAAGCUUUCAAAGGGGCUCUAACUCUUCAACAGCAGCAACAGUUACUGGACGAGUUGGAAAAGGACAAUAAACUGGUGUACCACAUUGGGCUAACGCCAGCCAAGUUGCCAGACUUAGUUGAAAACAACCCCUUAGUAGCCAUAGAGGUGUUAUUGCGACUGAUGCAGUCCAACCAAAUCACAGAGUAUUUUUCUGUUUUGGUUAACAUGGAGAUGUCUCUUCACUCUAUGGAGGUGGUCAACAGACUCACAACAGCUGUAGAGCUGCCCUCUGAAUUCAUCCAUCUGUACAUCUCAAACUGUAUCUCAACCUGUGAAACCAUCCGUGACAGAUAUUUACAGAAUCGCCUUGUUCGCUUAGUGUGCGUCUUUCUGCAGUCUCUGAUCAGAAACAAAAUAAUUGAUGUUAAGGAUAUCUUCAUAGAAGUGCAAGCCUUUUGUAUAGAAUUCAGUCGGAUUCGAGAAGCUGCUGGUUUAUUUAGACUGUUAAAAUCACUGGACAGUGCAGAUCCACAAAAUACACCGACAGCAGCCACCAGAUAGCAGGCAAAGCGAUGGUUGACUUACCAGUAAAUGUACGAAAAAUUGAUUGUAGGAAAUGGACAGAGAAUACAUGUGCUUGGCUGUGGAAUAUGUGCUGCAUCGUUCAAUAUACAGUUCCCCAUUGUGGGGGAUAUCCUCAGUGCAGACAACAUGUGACAUCAGAAUCAGGUCCAUGCAUUGUGACAAGGAAGAGAUACUAAAAACCUCCUAACAUGUGUACGAUGACUGUGUAACACUUUGUGUGCAAUUAAUGAAUACAGAUUAAUAAACAAAAAUCCUCUUC